rnacentral:rRNA from 1 species
CAGCAGCCGCGGUAAUACGUAGGCGGCAAGCGUUGUCCGGAAUUAUUGGGCGUAAAGGGCUCGCAGGCGGUUUCUUAAGUCUGAUGUGAAAGCCCCCGGCUCAACCGGGGAGGGUCAUUGGAAACUGGGAAACUUGAGUGCAGAGGAGGAGAGUGGAAUUCCACGUGCAGCGGUGAAAUGCGUAGAGAUGUGGAGGAACACCAGUGGCGAAGGCGACUCUCUGGUCUGUAACUGACGCCGAGGAGCGAAAGCGUGGGGAGCGAACAGGAUUAGAUACCCCAGUAGUCCCUGUCUCUUAUAC